rnacentral:rRNA from 1 species
UACAGAGGUGGCAAGCGUUGUUCGGAAUUACUGGGCGUAAAGAGCGCGUAGGCGGCCUUCUAAGUCAGACGUGAAAUCCCCCGGCUUAACCUGGGAACUGCGUCUGAUACUGGAGGGCUUGAGUGCGGGAGAGGGAUGUGGAAUUCCAGGUGUAGCGGUGAAAUGCGUAGAUAUCUGGAGGAACACCGGUGGCGAAGGCGGCAUCCUGGACCGACACUGACGCUGAGGCGCGAAAGCUAGGGUAGCAAACGGG